AGUGAACGCUGGCGGCGUGCUUAACACAUGCAAGUCGAACGAGAACGGAAUAUAGCUUGCUAUAUUUGUCAGCUAAGUGGCGCACGGGUGAGUAAUGUAUAGAUAACCUGCCCUUAAGAAAGGAAUAACAGUUGGAAACGACUGCUAAUGCCCUAUAUGCCUUUAAUACAUAAGUAUGCAAGGGAAACGCUUUAGUGCUUAAGGAUGGGUCUGUAUGGUAUCAGCUUGUUGGUGAGGUAAUGGCUCACCAAGGCUAUGACGCCUAACUGGUUUGAGAGGAUGGUCAGGCACACUGGAACUGAGACACGGUCCAGACUCCUACGGGAGGCAGCAGUGGGGAAUAUUGCACAAUGGACGAAAGUCUGAUGCAGCAACGCCGCGUGGAGGAUGACACAUAUCGGUGCGUAAACUCCUUUUAUAUAGGAAGAUAAUGACGGUACUAUAUGAAUAAGCACCGGCUAACUCCGUGCCAGCCGCCGUGUAA
rnacentral:rRNA from 1 species